UACGGGGGGAGCAAGCGUUGUUCGGAUUUACUGGGCGUUAAAGGGCGCGUAGGCGGUCGUGACAAGUUCACUUGUGAAAUCUCCGGGCUUAACUCGGAACGGUCAAGUGAUACUGUCGGACUAGAGUACAGAAGGGGCAACUGGAAUUCUCGGUGUAGCGGUGAAAUGCGUAGAUAUCGAGAGGAACACCUGCGGCGAAGGCGGGUUGCUGGGCUGACACUGACGCUGGAAGCGCGAAAAGCUAGGGGAGCGAACGGG
rnacentral:rRNA from 1 species